rnacentral:tRNA from 1 species
GCCGGAGUGGCGAAACUGGUAAACGCUGCGGACUUAAAAUCCGCCGCCCGUUAAGGGCUUGCGGGUUCGAUUCCCGCCUCCGGCACCA